CUUCAUGCUGCUGGUGGGGUGAGAGGCCCGGAGCAGCUGAGUCUAUUUUGCUUGAGCAACCACAACAGGAUUGCAGUCUGUGGAACAUGGAUGAUGGUAUCGGGAAUGGGACAGACAUUAAUUAUAUCAGGCACAGAAACUUUAAUUGAAUCAGAAUUAUACGUGUCAAGAACCUGGGCAGUACACUCUUCUUCACAGCACCAAUUCCUUCUGAGGGGGGAAUUUCACAAGCCAUCUGAGAAAACCACAGCAGUCGGGAAAGGGACAAAAUCUGUGUGCUGGACACUGCUGGAUUCUGAGGAUAUGAUGAUGAACAAGACUGUUGGGGCCCUGCCCUAAUGAAGGGCAUAUUCUAAUGGGGACAAUAGACAAAGAGACAAAAAUCAAAAAUAAGUAAAAUACAAUGUUAGUUUGUAAUAACUGCUAAGAAGGAAACAAAGAAGGGUCUGGCAGAGAAAAUAAUGGGGACCGUGGGAUCUGCUUUAAAUUAGAUGGCCAGGAGAAGAUCUCUGAAAGGAAGAUUUAAACUGAUUCUUGAUAAAGGAGGAUGAGCUAGCUGGUGAGGGGGCAUUCCAGACAGAGAGAUGGGGCAUGGCCAAGUCAAGACAAGAAUGACUACUGAAGUGUGUGGUCUUGUAGGGACAAAUUAAUUUCUCAAUACUUAAUCCUGUUAUUUUUUAUUCAACAAAUAUUUAUUUUGUUCCCUCCACAUGGGAGGCAUAAUUCUAGCCACUGGGAAUAAACAGUCCCUGAAUAGAAAGAAUUUAUCAUCCAGGGAGGAAAACUUGCCAGUCAACUGGAGUUAGCUAAUCAGGGUAAAGAGGCUUUAUAUGAGAAACACACCUAAUACCAAUCCAGGUGGGGGUAACAGAACCAGGGAAGGUUUGUUACCUUUCCUGGUAACCAACAUCUAAGCAGACACCUGGACGUAAGUGGAGUUAUAUAUAACUAACAGGGCAUGAAAACACAGAGGGUGUAAUUGUCCUUUUUCAUUGGCUUGAAAGAGUUGAAUAAAUGACUUCAACAUUGUUAUGAUUGAAUUGUGUUCCCCCCAUAUUCAUAUGUUGAGGUCCUGCCCCCCAGUACCUCAGAAUGUGACCUUAUUUGGAAACAGGGUCAUUGCAUAUGCCAUUAGUUAAGAUGAGGUUAUUAUGAUGGACCCUAAUCUAAUAUGACUGGUAUCCUUAUAAAAAGGGGAAAUUAGGACACAUAUAAAGGGAAGAUAAUGUGA